rnacentral:rRNA from 1 species
UGGUGGAGUGAUUUGUCUGGUUAAUUCCGUUAACGAACGAGACCGCUGCCUGCUAAAUAGCCUGCCGAGUGCCUGUCACUGGGCGAGGCUUCUUAGAGGGUCGUGCAUUCUAUUAGAUGCAGGAAGAUAGCGGUAAUAACA